AGAUUUGGAGAAAAUGUCAUCUUUGAUGUUCAUCAUAGCAUUUUAUAGAAACUAAUUGGGAAAUACAAUCUCUUUGUAGACUUUUUCAUUCAUUCCUCUUCCACAUUCCAAGGGAGCACAUGGAGCACCGAUUGUGUGACCACUUUUGUCCUGCCUCUGAGGAAUUGUCCAGGGCUGUGUGAGUUCCAUGAUCCCAUGU